rnacentral:rRNA from 1 species
AUUGAACGCUCGCGGCAGGCCUAACACAUGCAAGUCGAGCGGAUGAAGGGAGCUUGCUCCUGGAUUCAGCGGCGGACGGGUGAGUAAUGCCUAGGAAUCUGCCUGGUAGUGGGGGAUAACGUCCGGAAACGGGCGCUAAUACCGCAUACGUCCUGAGGGAGAAAGUGGGGGAUCUUCGGACCUCACGCUAUCAGAUGAGCCUAGGUCGGAUUAGCUAGUUGGUGGGGUAAAGGCCUACCAAGGCGACGAUCCGUAACUGGUCUGAGGGGAUGAUCAGUCACACUGGAACUGAGACACGGUCCAGACUCCUACGGGAGGCAGCAGUGGGGAAUAUUGGACAAUGGGCGAAAGCCUGAUCCAGCCAUGCCGCGUGUGUGAAGAAGGUCUUCGGAUUGUAAAGCACUUUAAGUUGGGAGGAAGGGCAGUAAGUUAAUACCUUGCUGUUUUGACGUUACCAACAGAAUAAGCACCGGCUAACUUCGUG